GUGGAGUACGCAGCCUCAUGGUCUGUAACGGAGCCACUUAUAUUUUUUAAAGAAAGUUAGAAGAAACCUUCACUUAUAUGAUUAGCGGUCGUAUAUCAUUCUAAUCAUCUUAUCUUGUUGCUGUGAUCCAAUCAUCGAGAUGAACAUAUGAUGAAUGAAGUCUAUAAAAUAAGAGAUGGGAUAAUUCAUGUGAUGCAUAGUCAUGCAGUGUAUGCU
rnacentral:lncRNA from 1 species